GCAUUGGUGGUUCAGUGGUAGAAUUUACGCCUGCCACGCGGGAGGCCCGGAUUCGAUUCCCGGCCAAUGCA
rnacentral:tRNA from 1 species